rnacentral:rRNA from 1 species
UACGUAGGGUGCAAGCGUUAAUCGGAAUUACUGGGCGUAAAGCGUGCGUAGGCGGUUUUGCAAGUUCGGUGUGAAAUCCCCGGGCUUAACCUGGGAAUGGCAUUGGUGACUGCACGGCUAGAGUGUGUCAGAGGGGGGUAGAAUUCCUCGUGUAGCAGUGAAAUGCGUAGAGAUGUGGAGGAAUACCGAUGGCGAAGGCAGCCCCCUGGGAUAACACUGACGCUCAUGCACGAAAGCGUGGGGAGCAAACAGG